rnacentral:rRNA from 1 species
UAAUACGGAGGGGGCAAGCGUUGUUCGGAAUUACUGGGCGUAAAGGGCGCGUAGGCGGACGAUCAAGUCAGGGGUGAAAGGCCUGGGCUCAACCUGGGAAUUGACUUUGAAACUGGUUGUCUAGAGUCCGGAAGAGGAUGGCGGAAUUCCCAGUGUAGAGGUGAAAUUCGUAGAUAUUGGGAAGAACACCGGUGACGAAGGCGGCCAUCUGGUCCGGAACUGACGCUAAGGCGCGAAAGCGUGGGGAGCAAACAGGAUUAGAUACCCUGGUAGUCCACGCCGUAAACGAUGUGUGCUAGCCGUUGGGGCCUCGGGCUUCAGUGGCGCAGCUAACGCGUUAAGCACACCGCCUGGGGAGUACGGCCGCAAGGUUA